GAUAGACACGCAGAAAAAGUGAGGAACAGCAGAAAUCUUCAGUACGGUUUUAAUCCUCUUCUCUAUACGGUAGAAGAAGGAUGACUAGUUAACGUUUUGUCAGCAGUGAACGGAGAGACUCAACAGAAACCCGCCUGAGGCUGAACUAGCCAUAUCUGCCUUCAAGCAAUCCGUCUUCUGUAGUAUCUACCUGCUACGUGCAGGCAAUCAUCAUUCCCUGUGCGACAGCUUGUGAAACGGAAGAGUAGACACUAUAAAAGCCAUGCUGGGAAAUCGACCUGAGUUGGGGAUCUUGGCUGACAUAACACGUCCACCUGAAAAAACUGACCCAGACAAUUCAAUCAUCUCCAGGCAGAUGAGAGUAGAGCCUACACUCAAUGGUUUGUUUCCAGACUCCUGGAGCUGCUGUGCAGAAUGUGUUCACACUUUCAUCUCAGAACAGCACAGUUUUCAAUUGGAGCAACUGUCCUGGAGACUUUGGUCUUUAGAGAUGGCUGAGUACAACUGCAGCAAAAUCAGAAUUGCUUUCUUUUAUGUGGGGAAAAAACAGCUGCACACUCUACUGCUAAAGCAAUGUCACAGCGGGGUGAUGGGAUAAGUCCUACUGGCCAAGGGAAAUGAUAUACUGUACAGGAGCUGUGGAGUGAAAAAUAAGCUGCACUACCCGAGGGGGAAAAUGAAUUUACGAUUUUUUACAUGGAAAAUGUCCUCCUAAAUGAGUAAAAGUUCACAAACCAGCUCAGAAAUACAAGCAAACAUUUGUUUUUACAGUUUUCUCCCAACGGAGCAAAAAGUCUACAGUCAAAUGACCAAAAUAUUAAA